ACCUCUGCUCCUAAAAAUGUCAUUUCUUGACUCUGAUAGAUGUAACAGCGGUGCUCCAACUCAACCCAGCCCUCCGGACACCGAUUCCACUUCACCGCCCCACUGAUCACGCAAAGGAGGAGGAAUGAGCGAAGAGUCAAUGCCAUCUGUACAAUUAUGGAAAAACACUUAUUUGGAACAAAUAAAGAGGG